rnacentral:rRNA from 1 species
UGGGGAAUAUUGGACAAUGGGCGCAAGCCUGAUCCAGCAAUGCCGCGUGUGUGAAGAAGGCCUGCGGGUUGUAAAGCACUUUCAGUGGGGAAGAAACGACCGGGGUUAAUACCCCCGGUGUUUGACGUUACUCACAGAAGAAGCACCGGCUAACUCCGUGCCAGCAGCCGCGGUAAUACGGAGGGUGCAAGCGUUAAUCGGAAUCACUGGGCGUAAAGCGCACGUAGGCGGCGCGACCAGUCAGUUGUGAAAGCCCCGGGCUCAACCUGGGAACGGCAAUUGAUACUAUCGUGCUCGAGUCUGAGAGAGGGGGGUGGAAUUCCAGGUGUAGCGGUGAAAUGCGUAGAUAUCUGGAGGAACAUCAGUGGCGAAGGCGGCCCCCUGGCUCAAGACUGACGCUGAGGUGCGAAAGCGUGGGGAGCAAACA